rnacentral:rRNA from 1 species
UACAGAGGUCUCAAGCGUUGUUCGGAUUCAUUGGGCGUAAAGGGUGCGUAGGCGGCGGAGCAAGUCUGAUGUGAAAUCCCGGGGCUCAACCCCGGAACUGCAUUGGAUACUGCUUUGCUCGAGUACUGGAGAGGGAACUGGAAUUUACGGUGUAGCAGUGAAAUGCGUAGAGAUCGUAAGGAAGGCCAGUGGCGAAGGCGAGUUCCUGGACAGUGACUGACGCUGAGGCACGAAGGCCAGGGGAGCAAACGGG